rfam:Vibrio anguillarum 775 chromosome I, complete sequence.
UAAUUGAAGAGUUUGAUCAUGGCUCAGAUUGAACGCUGGCGGCAGGCCUAACACAUGCAAGUCGAGCGGCAGCACAGAGGAACUUGUUCCUUGGGUGGCGAGCGGCGGACGGGUGAGUAAUGCCUAGGAAAUUGCCCUGAUGUGGGGGAUAACCAUUGGAAACGAUGGCUAAUACCGCAUGAUGCCUACGGGCCAAAGAGGGGGACCUUCGGGCCUCUCGCGUCAGGAUAUGCCUAGGUGGGAUUAGCUAGUUGGUGAGGUAAUGGCUCACCAAGGCGACGAUCCCUAGCUGGUCUGAGAGGAUGAUCAGCCACACUGGAACUGAGACACGGUCCAGACUCCUACGGGAGGCAGCAGUGGGGAAUAUUGCACAAUGGGCGCAAGCCUGAUGCAGCCAUGCCGCGUGUAUGAAGAAGGCCUUCGGGUUGUAAAGUACUUUCAGUCGUGAGGAAGGUGGUGUUGUUAAUAGCAGCAUCAUUUGACGUUAGCGACAGAAGAAGCACCGGCUAACUCCGUGCCAGCAGCCGCGGUAAUACGGAGGGUGCGAGCGUUAAUCGGAAUUACUGGGCGUAAAGCGCAUGCAGGUGGUGGAUUAAGUCAGAUGUGAAAGCCCGGGGCUCAACCUCGGAACCGCAUUUGAAACUGGUUCACUAGAGUACUGUAGAGGGGGGUAGAAUUUCAGGUGUAGCGGUGAAAUGCGUAGAGAUCUGAAGGAAUACCGGUGGCGAAGGCGGCCCCCUGGACAGAUACUGACACUCAGAUGCGAAAGCGUGGGGAGCAAACAGGAUUAGAUACCCUGGUAGUCCACGCCGUAAACGAUGUCUACUUGGAGGUUGGGGCCUUGAGCCGAGGCUUUCGGAGCUAACGCGUUAAGUAGACCGCCUGGGGAGUACGGGCGCAAGAUUAAAACUCAAAUGAAUUGACGGGGGCCCGCACAAGCGGUGGAACAUGUGGUUUUAAUUCGAUGCAACGCGAAAAACCCUUACCUACUCUUGGACUUCCAAAAAAACCAGGCGGAAGACCCAGGUGUGGCCUUUCGGGAAGCUCUUAAAACAGGGGCUGGCUGGGCUUGCCGCUCACCUCCGGGUUGUGAAAGGGUUGGGUUAAAGUCCCCCCAACCAAGCGCAAACCCCUUAUCCCUUGGUUUUGCCCACGAAUCUUUGUCCGGGAAACUCCCGGGAUAAACUGCCCGGGGGAUAAAACCCGGGAGAGAAAGGGUGGGGGAAAAAACCCCUCAAAGACCAUCUCUGGGCCCCCCUUUCAAAAAUUAAGGGCUUCACAACAACGGGGGCCAAACAUGGGGGGCCCAUAAACAGAGAGGGGGAUCAACAAAGCUUACCACACAUAUGAGGUCAGCAAUAAUCCCCCCCAAAAAAAGUGGUGCCUAUUCUAAAAAAUCCCCGGAAAAUAUUUGGGAAAAAUCGUGGUAAUACACAUUCCACCACUCCCCCCCCUUAAUAAAAAUAAUUA